GAUGAACGCUGGCGGCGUGCUUAACACAUGCAAGUCGAACGGAAAGGCUCCUGCUUGCAGGGGUACUCGAGUGGCGAACGGGUGAGUAACACGUGGGUGAUCUGCCCUGCACUUCGGGAUAAGCCUGGGAAACUGGGUCUAAUACCGGAUAGGACGAUGGUUUGGAUGCCAUUGUGGAAAGUUUUUCGGUGUGGGAUGAGCUCGCGGCCUAUCAGCUUGUUGGUGGGAUAAUGGCCUACCAAGGCGUCGACGGGUAGCCGGCCUGAGAGGGUGUACGGCCACAUUGGGACUGAGAUACGGCCCAGACUCCUACGGGAGGCAGCAGUGGGGAAUAUUGCACAAUGGGCGCAAGCCUGAUGCAGCGACGCCGCGUGGGGGAUGACGGCCUUCGGGUUGUAAACUCCUUUCGCUAGGGACGAAGCGCAAGUGACGGUACCUGGAGAAGAAGCACCGGCUAACUACGUG
rnacentral:rRNA from 1 species